UACGUAGGGGGCUAGCGUUGUCCGGAAUCAUUGGGCGUAAAGCGCGUGUAGGCGGUCCGGUAAGUCCGCUGUGAAAGUCGGGGGCUCAACCCUCGAAUGCCGGUGGAUACUGUCGGGCUAGAGUGCGGAAGAGGCGAGUGGAAUUCCUGGUGUAGCGGUGAAAUGCGCAGAUAUCAGGAGGAACACCAAUUGCGAAGGCAGCUCGCUGGGACGUAACUGACGCUCAUGCACGAAAGCGUGGGGAGCAAACAGG
rnacentral:rRNA from 1 species